AAAGUCGUAACAAGGUUUCCGUAGGUGAACCUGCGGAAGGAUCAUUACAAAUCCACAAGUCACCCUCACCGGUCGACAACGUUGAACACCCCCCUUUGGCGGCGCGCUGAAGGGGAGGCCGACCCGCCUCCCCCCAACGCACGCUGCCUCUAUUUGACCCCAGGCUGACACACACAUUACCACGAUUGUACCAACAAACAAACAACCUAGAAACAACUUAUAACAAUGGAUCUCUAGGCUCUU
rnacentral:misc_RNA from 1 species